rfam:Egretta garzetta contig69418, whole genome shotgun sequence.
AAAAAGGUUUUUUUCAAAGCAAAACCACAAUCUAUUUCAAAGAUGAAUUAU